GGGUGAGGUAGAGGCGCGACAUCUAAGAGUAACUAUACGGAGGCCGGAAGCCUAUGAAAUAUAGUGAAAGGAGCUGUCGCCGAAGUCUUAGAUAUCCAAAAUCUAAGGCUGGGCCUGCAUCGAAUAGGUGUAGGACUGUCAUCAGGAUAACUGCCCAAUAUCCUGAUGGAGCGCUAUCUCACAC
rnacentral:ncRNA from 2 species